CAGCGACUCUGGCUGAUAUGAGUCUGUCCCCGGACCUCAGGAGUUUAUGAUUGGCUGCAAGGAGGAUCUUUUUUUAAUCAGAGAGAGGAGAUUUAAAGAGGUAGCAAGAUUUUAUGAUCAAUUUUAUGAUCUUUAAAUGAAGCUUGAGUUAAGAUUUUCUCAUCUUUAAGGACAUGCUCUACAUUUUACCACUGAUUUAACGCUUUAGAAACUUUAGUUAAAAGAAGAUGGGGGAGCAGUCAUUGCCUCUUGCUCAAGGACACUUAAGCAGGUUGGGCAUGGUUAAUUCAUCUGGAUCCACUGUGGAGUCUGUCGACUCUUGUUUUCACGGUGCUUUCAGCUUUUUUCAGCAACACCAAGACAGCAAAGACAAACAGGACUUUUGUUUUUAUCGUGGAAAGUUUUUAGGCAGAAAAUAAAGAGCACAGCUUCUACUUUUAUCCUGCAGGUAUCAACUUUAUCUCUCUCUGAUUCAUAACAGUAAAGAACAACAACUGUAAUUGUAUUCGCAUCUUAACAUCUUUUUAUUUCACAUUUUCAUAAAAUGUAUUUCUAUAGUUCAGUUAUUAGCUGUGUGAUUAUUUGAUUUAAUCAUUGAUUAUUAUUUCUGCCUUCAGUUCAGUUAGUUUAAUGUUUCCUGGUCUGUUGGCGCCACCUGGUGGACAACAGCAGGAACUACAAACACAUCUGCAGACACUACUAGACGUUAAAAACUAAUUAUUCAUUAGAUUAUUUUUAUUCUCUAUUAUUGUAAUUUAUAUUCAAAGAUACAUUUUCCCCAAACAAUCAAACAAUGUUUCUCUCUUGUGUAUUUAAUUUGGUGGGUGAUGAUUAAAUAGUGCUGUGUUUGAUUUAAAUAUUGAUUAUUAUAUUGAGUUUAAUGUUUCCUGGUCCCUUCAUGCUGCCUAGUAGACAACAACAACAACUACAAGCAGAGCUACAAAACACAAGUCUUUUCAAAAAUGACCCUGGUGCUACAUUUUUCAUAGUAAAUUAUUGACAUUUAGAGGAUACAGUGAUGUGGUUUUGGGUGGUGCAGGGUGAUCUGCUCCUCCCACCGCCCAGCAGCAGCAAACGGGUUCAGCUGCCUGUUUAUCAGCAGCUCUGAAGGUUGGAGAAACUUUAAAUUAACCUGCCCGGAGUCCAGAGAGGAGCUGCAACACAGAGCAGAAAGCUCACAGGUGAUGAAACACACCUGUCAGGAGUCAGAGUUAGUCUUCUCUGCAGCCAUGGAAAUCAUCAUCAAACGCUCGUCCUGCUGAAAAGUCGACUGAUGUUUCUGUGAAAUGGGAUGUAACGAGUCGAGAUGCUGGUCCUGGUCUGGUUCAGACAAACAGAAGGAAGCCAUCAUCACCGAGGAAGGAGGACAGGAUGAAACUAAAGCCUUUCUGGAGGAUGUGAAGGAGGCUGAAUGUGUCGUCAGUCCAGAGGAGAUGGCAGACGACGGCUGCUCACUGACCCUUCCUCCGGUCUGUAACCCGAUUCUGGAUUUUGCUCAGAAGAUGUCGGAGGACAUCGUUGCUCAGGCUCUGCAGCUCUGCUGGGAGGUGGAGAGUCGAUACAAGGACCUGCCGUUCAUUGACAGUGACUAUGAUUAUGUUAUAUGAACAGAAAACUGGACCAGGACGUGUUUUAGCUGCUAAAAUGAUCCAUUAACCCACAGGUGAAGACAAAAACACUACACAAACUGACAGAUUACAGAUUAUGACUCCUGAAUAAAGAUCCUACAUUAAAUCAUCUUGGUCACAUUUUACAGCUCAUGCUGCAGAACACUGACACAUCUUAACAACAUCUCUGCACAGGAUUUGUAGGUUAUAAAGUUAGAUAAGAUUCAGUAUUAAUUCAUGUAUUUUUACCAUCAGUAAGUCCUAUGAAAAGACUCAAACCAACAAUGUUUCAGUCUCUGAAUAUCUCCUGACGUCUCUACUGAACCUUAAACCUUUUAAAUCUGCUCACAAAUAUAUAGUUUCAUCUUUCAAAGAUGCCAAAACAGAUUCAUUGGUGGUUUUGGUCAAAGAAUAUCACCAGAAUUUAACUUUUUUAAAGCUUUAACAGUUCCUUCUUGCUACCACCUGGUGUCGCCAAUGAGUCUCUUUCUUCCAAAUCUGGUUUAUCGAAUAAAUAAAGUUUACACAUCAGAAAUAAACUCA